AUGUAUACAACCAACCUUAACUAAUUUAUGUCAACUAACUAAAAUCAAAACUUUCAACAACGGAUCUCUUGGUUCUCGCAUCGAUGAAGAACGCAGCGAAAUGCGAUAAGUAAUAUGAAUUGCAGAUUUUCGUGAAUCAUCGAAUCUUUGAACGCACAUUGCACCUUGUGGUAUUCCACAAGGUANGCCUGUUUGAGCGUCAUUUCUCCCUCAAACCCCCGGUUUGGUGUUGAGUGAUACUCCGGUCCACUUCAAAUUUAGCUACAACUUAUGUUCUAAUACUUCGUAAGUAACACUAAAAAGAUCGACCUCAAAUCAGGUAGGACUACCCGCUGAACUUAAGCAUAUC
rnacentral:rRNA from 1 species